GCCCGGUUAGCUCAGCAAGUAGAGCGCGGGAAUUUUAAUCCUGAGGUCGAGGGUUCAAGUCAUUUAUCGGGCG
rnacentral:tRNA from 1 species